GAUGAACGCUAGCUACAGGCUUAACACAUGCAAGUCGAGGGGAAACGAUAGAGAAAGCUUGCUUUUUCUAGGCGUCGACCGGAGCACGGGUGAGUAACGCGUAUCCAACCUGCCCAUCACUUGGGGAUAACCUUGCGAAAGUAAGAUUAAUACCCAAUGACGUCUCUAGAAGACAUCUGAAAGAGAUUAAAGAUUUAUCGGUGAUGGAAGGGAUUGCGUCUGAUUAGCUUGUUGGCGGGGUAACGGCCCACCAAGGGGAGGAUCAGUCGGGUUCCUGGGAGGAAGGUCCCCCGCAUUGGAACUGAGACACGGUCCAAACUACUACGGGAGGCAGCAGUGAGGAAUAUGGGUCAAUGGACGAGAGUCUGAACCAGCCAAGUAGCGUGCAGGAUGACGACCCUAUGGGUUGUAAACUGCUUUUAUAGGGGAAUAAAGUGAGUCUCGUGAGACUUUUUGCAUGUACCUUAUGAAUAAGGACCGGCUAAUUCCGUGCCAGCAGCCGCCGUAA
rnacentral:rRNA from 1 species